rnacentral:tRNA from 1 species
CGAGAAAGUCUACGGUUCGAGUCCGUAUAGCCCUAAGGGCUAUAGCUCAGUUAGGUAGAGCACCUCGUUUACAC